rnacentral:lncRNA from 10 species
GCGGCCGCCCCUCAACCAACCCCCAGGCGGCAAGGCCCUCUCCACGCGCGCUCUCCAGCCUGGCGGGGCCCUGGAAGCCGGGACACGCGGAGGCCGGGAGGGUCAUCGGCGUUUAAGGCAGCCUCCCACACCAAGUGCACCGCCCGGAUCCCCUCUGCACGAGGGCUUUCUGCUUAUUGCUCUUUUCCCCAGCAGCCAGAAUCGUCACCGUAGCGCGGGAAGGGGCCUCGCGGGCCGUCUGCAGCAGGUGCGGCCGGGAGCCGCAGGCCCGCGCGGUAAAUCGCUGUCUCUUUGCGGUCGUUGUUCCCAUUCACCGCCCGCCGCCCCCCGCCCCACCACGGUUCUUUUUUUUCUUUCCGCCGCGCAGUUGCCAUGGGUUACCAGGGCGGUUGCCAUGGGUUACCGGACCGAGGCCGGCUGGCUCGCUACCUGCAGCCCAGUCGCCGCCGCCAGCGGAGCGGCCCGGGCGGGACGCGGCGGGAGCGCGCGUGUGCGGGACGCAGCGCGGGGGAUGCGCGCGGGCCGCGGAGGCGCCGCAACCAACAGGCGGCCGAGGGUGCAGCCGCGGGAGCGCCACCGCCAGUGGGGUGGGGGGCAAAGCUAUAAAGAAGGCCCAGAGGUAAGAAACUAGCAAAAACACAACCACAAGUUAUGCCCGUGCUGUGCCUCUAGCAGCAAAGACAAGCGGUGUGGGGUUGGAUGAAUCUACACUUCUCGUCGGGGGAGAAAGGGAUUCCUGCGGAGCUGUAUUUACUUUACAUCCAUGUGAACUGCUGUCAUCACUACUGUGUCCAAGCCCAGAGGAUGAACUGGAAAAGAAGAGAGGGGGAAAAUAAUAAAAAGAGGAAAUUGGUUUUCACAACACACUCAAAGCCUGAGUAACAGAGGAGAACUUUAAUUAUCUCCAGUCACAAAGAGAGACAGGAAAUUUGGACUUUUAAUUAGCCAUUUGGAGUGCAGUUGGGUAUUUUUUUAGCUAGAUAAUUUAAACGCGAAUAAUUCAAGUCUGACUAAAUGAAAGUCACAUAAUCAGAAUGCAAAUAAUUGAAUUUCUACUGCAUUCAUUAAUUCAGUGUGGAGGUGUGUGUGAAGACUACUAUGAUGAGCUGUCACAGCUCAAUAAAAUCUCAGUCAAUUAAUUUUUUCAUUAUCUUAGUAUUAUAUCAACAAAAAAGUGAAGUGUGUAUAUAUAUCUAUACACGUGCAUAUGUGCAUACUAUGUAUUAUAUAAAUACAUAUACAUUAAAUCAAAAUGCAAGGAAAUACCUUUCUGAAUCAUAAUCUAUAUCAUUUUCUUUUUUUCCUUCUUCAUCUUCUUCAGGGAAACGUCUAUUCAUUAAGGCAAACUUGUGAAUUGCUUCUUCCACAGAGUACUUAGUCUGCCCAGAAACACACGCCUCAAUGUCUUCUGAAUUCAGAUGGCUCUGUAAGAAGAGGUGAAGGCUGCUAUCUGAAAGCAAAAGUGCAUUCUGUAGGACUCUAUAUUAAAAAAAAAAGGAAAAAUAAUUGGUGAACAGGAUGGUCAGUGAUAGGGUAGAAGAAAGAAAAACAUUAGAAAAGUACCACUGAAGGUAAUUUCUCUACUGUGGUAAACUUUGUAUCAAUUAUGGGCUCUGCCCAUUAAGGGGAGGAAAGCAUAUGUUAACUUUUAUUCAAUUAUUUGGAAAUUUAGGUGGGUAAAAACAUGAAGCUAAUAGUUAAGAACAUCUGUUAAAAGAAUAACUUCAAGGACAUUUCUUCAAUUUACCCAUCUCUUAUUACCAUGUGGAUUAAUUAUGGAAAUAUUUUGCUUAUAUAGUCAUAGAAAGUUAUUCUACUUUAAAAAAUUUACUGCCAACAGCAUGUCAAUUCAGUGAUCUUUAUGGGAUAGGCUGUCAUGAAACAUCAAAACUUUCAACUACUAUUAAAAAUUAUAUGAAGAAAAUACAAUUCUCAGCAUAUUUUACAUUUUAAAACUUUACAGUUAUAUACUUAAGGGCAUGUUUACGACAGCUCAUGAGAGAGAUGGCUUUUUUUAAUACUUAAGGUUAACUGUAAAUUUCUCCAAAAUCUUUAGGAGCACUGAAUCUCUGUGUUGUCAAAAUGAGCAACCAAAUAAAAUUGAUCCCAGCCAACUUUACCAUAUAUAUAAUUAAAAUAUGAUAAUUUUGUG